rnacentral:rRNA from 1 species
UACGUAGGUGGCAAGCGUUGUCCGGAUUUACUGGGCGUAAAGAGCGCGCAGGCGGUCGUCCAAGUCGCGUGUGAAAGCCCCCCGGCUCAACUGGGGAGGGUCACGCGAUACUGGUCGACUCGAAGGCAGGAGAGGGUAGUGGAAUUCCCGGUGUAGUGGUGAAAUGCGUAGAUAUCGGGAGGAACACCAGUGGCGAAGGCGACUUCCUGGCCUGUUCUUGACGCUGAGGCGCGAAAGCUAGGGGAGCAAACGGG